GGAGGAGUUAUAGCAUAGGCUUUAGAGACUUGAUUAGCUGAGAGAACACGAGCAAUUAUAUUGAAGUUUAAAUUGUUGGUCUUUGUUCAGUUUGUUUUUGAAAAAGUUUUGUAUUGAAAAUCUUUUGAGGUUUGUUUAAAAUUGAGAGCAAGAAAAUUAAAUUAUUGUGGGAUGUGCUUAAUGAUAUCUACCUUCCAUAUUAGAAAAGGCUAGUUACAACUUGAACAUUAACUCACAAACUUGAUGAGAGCAUUAUGUUUUCUUGUGUGUGAUAAAGUGCAGGAUUAAACAUUGAAAGGCAACACUGGUUUCUAUUGAAGAUUUACUCGAGGACAAGCAAGGUUUAAGCAUCGGGGAAUUAUUUACG
rnacentral:lncRNA from 1 species